AGGUGGUCGGGCAGGGGAGACCGCAGUGCCGCAGCCAGGGACCGGCCUGCCCGUGUGGGAGAUGCUGCCGGUCUGGCGACAGGUUGUUUCGAGAGCCCAAGGUGGACGUGCGACGAGCCCUUGGCCGAGUCCUCGUGGCCACAGGGCGCAGAGAAACAUCGGCUAAACCCCACGCCUGGUCAGACAGGCUGAGGAUCAGCCGGGUCGGGCUCCCAGGAUCGAUCCCUCCAGCCAGCACCUCUGGAUCACGGCACCCUCCGCGCCCCUUCCCGUGCCCUGGCAUCGCCCCUCGCCCGGCAGAGCCGCCCCUGCCUGCCCUCGCCCCCCCGCUGCUGCCAACGCGGGGCUCAAGCAACGGGGAUGAGUUUCAUCCCGGACCUCCUUCCCCAUCUUGUAUGUACUGAAGCUACGGGCUGGCCUCUGCCCCGCAGCGUCACCCCCUCCCGUGCCCGUCCCUGGGCUUCACCCCCUUCUUGGGGCUCUUCUGCUGCCUCUCGUUGGGGUAGGGGGUAUUUCUGCAGGAAGAAGGACCUUUGCCUGUCACUCUGGCAGCACCAGGAGCCCAAACGGUGCCCCGGACCGAACCCUCCCUCCACCUCCACGUGAGCGUUACUGUCCCUGUGCAAGACACGGAGAAACCGAGGCACGGACCGAGACGCCUCAUGGCAGAAGUUCACUGGCCCGCUGGGUAACCCGGGGUACUGGUACCAGUACUGCUGCCUCUGCUCCUCCUCUGCCCGGCUGAGCAGUCAGGGCAGGAGGGGCCCGGCUGGUCCCGGGGCUCAGCUGGGGCCAUUUAACCUGCAGACAGGUUUCACCUGGAGCCUGGUGGGUCUUGGAGGGGGCAGGUCCAUAACCACCCACUGGGGCUCAUUUUAGGUGCCUGCUCUUAUAAACCAGCAGCCUACUCACCUUAAGGGCUUUUUUUUCCUUUCUUUUCUUUUCUUUUUUUUUUUUUUCUUUUGCCUUUUAGGAGCCCUAGUUUGGAGGCUGGGGAGGGUUGAACCUGCUGCCUGCAGGUCUCCAGGAGGGAGUGCCAGGAUUUUCUACCCUUCCCAACACUGCCAAGCAGAUGAAGGACCAUGUCAUCGCGUAGCUCUGGGGUGGCCUUGGGGCUCGGUUCCCAGCCCGGCUGCAGCACACUUCUGCCUGUGCAAAGAAAUUCCUUCCCGGCGCUGCAACUCCUUUCGCCACGGAGCCGCUCGUUUGCCCUGCUCAGCCAGGAGGACUUCAAGAGCUUCAGUGGGAGCUUCUGCGCUGCGAGCGAUGUUUUGGGGGCUGAUCUCUUGGACCGCGACUACUGCGUCCCCGACCCGCAGCUGGUCAGGAGGAUUGUGUCCCAGGUGGAAUACUACCUCUCUGAUGAGAAUCUGGCCAAGGAUGCUUUCCUCCUGAAACACGUCCAGAAGAACAAGAUGGGUUUCGUCAGCAUCAAACUGCUGACGUCCUUCAAGAAGGUGAAAUACCUGACGCGUGACUGGCGGCUGACGCUCUACGCGCUGCAGUUCUCGGAGCUGCUGGAGGUGAACGAGGAGGGUACCAAAGUGAGGCGACGGGUCCCCAUCCCCGAGUCCCUGCUGAGCAUCCCCCCCAGCAAACUGCUGCUGGCCUGGGAGCUGCUGCCCCCGGAGCAGGACGUGCUGCCGCCGCUCCAGAAGAAUUUCCUGGAGACCAUCACGAGGAUGUUCAGCCCCUUCGGCGCCAUCGCCUCCAUCCGCAUCCUGCGGCCGGGCCGCAAGCUGCCCUCGGAUGUGCGGAAAUACACGUCUCGCUUCCCGGAGCUGCUGAGCAAGUGCUGCGCGCUGGUGGAGUACGAGAGCCUGGAGAGCGCCCGCAGCGCCUUUGAGGACCUCGGCCGCCAGAGCCGCCUGGGCGGCGAGAGCAUCAGGGUGGUCCGGCUCUGCGGGAAGGGCUCCAAGAAGAAACCCGGGGUCGAGAGGAAGGCGGCAGAGAAGCCGGCGGACCAGCCGGGUUGGAAAACGCAAGCGGUGGCCGCGACCUUCCCGUACGGCCUCGGGGACUCCCUGCUCUGCAGCUCCCCGGAGUCGAAAGGUUCCCAGGCGUUGUCACCCCUCCUCCUGCGCAAGGAGCCCUCGGCACCCUCCUGGCCCGGCAGCGACUUCAAGCCCGACGAUUUCGGCAACGCCUUCACCGGAUCGCUCCUCACCGGGAAUGUCUUCCCUCCGCUCGGGACAGGCUUGGGCACGGCCGACCGCUACGACCUCCGCUCCGGCCCCGAGAGCGCCCGUGGCUGCGGCUGGGGGAGCGGGGCGGGUGCCUGGGCGCCCUGGCCCAGCAGCCCCUCUCUAGAUGCCAAACCUCUUGCCGGCAACGUCCCGGCAGCGAAACGGGUGCCCGAGCCCCUCGGCCUGCGGGAUGGGCUGCUUCGCCUGCCCCACGGCCCCGAUGGCACCAAGGGCUUUUGCGGCAGCUUUGGGAGAGGAGAGCUCGUCCUCCGGCGCUGAGGCUCCUUUACGUUUGGGUUUGGGGCUUUUCUUUUUCUUUUCUUUCCUUUUUCCUCCUCCUCUUGAGCAGAAGGACUCUCGGUGGCCCCCCGAGAGCCGCGGGCGGUGGCGGUGCAGCGGCUCCGGGGGGGCCGGUUUUGGGGCAAAAGCCAGCGCUUGGGGCGAGACGCCGAGCGGCGGCGGCACCGGGAGCUGCGCCGUGCCGACGCCGACGGGACUGCGCCCGCCCGGGGUCCGGAGCGGCUCCCGCCGCCCCAGCGGCACCCCUGGGACUGCCCGAAGGAAGGGGCUCAGCCCCCCCCCGACCCCCCGGUGCUGGGGGACCGCCCCGACGGGGACCUCACCCUGCACCUUCUGCAAGGCAGACCCGGAAAGGUCUGUCCUUGUCCCAGGGGCUGCGUGCUGCUUUCUGCGUGGGGCCGUGUCCGUGAGUCCCGCAGGGACCUGUCUGUCCUGGCUUCCCCACCAAAGGGCUGCUUCCCCUGGGGAAGGGGACAGCGCAGUCGCUCCCGUUCCCGUCCCCCCCCACCAUCGCCUGCCCCGCUGGUGGUGACUCGGGCCUGGGGGUGGCUGGGUUCCCCUCGGGGCUCGCCGGCUCGGAUGUGGGGCUCAGCGGGGCUUUUGCACCUCUUGGGUGCUGUUUCCCGGUGCCCCCCGCGCUCCCUCCCCGUCCCACACAGGCACGGAGCGGUUCUGGGGAAAGAGCUUUU